rnacentral:rRNA from 1 species
UACGAAGGGGGCUAGCGUUGUUCGGAUUUACUGGGCGUAAAGCGCACGUAGGCGGAUUUUUAAGUCAGGGGUGAAAUCCCGGGGCUCAACCCCGGAACUGCCUUUGAUACUGGAAGUCUUGAGUAUGGUAGAGGUGAGUGGAAUUCCGAGUGUAGAGGUGGAAUUCGUAGAUAUUCGGAGGAACACCAGUGGCGAAGGCGGCUCACUGGACCAUUACUGACGCUGAGGUGCGAAAGCGUGGGGAGCAAACAGG